UUUCCGUAGGUGAACCUGCGGAAGGAUCAUUAGUGAAUAAACUUGUGUGGGUUGUUGCUGGCCUCCUCGGAGGUAUGUGCACACCUGCCGUCGUUUCAUUCAAUCCACUCCCACCUGUGCACUCUCUGUAGGCCAAACCAUCAAACUUUCAGGUCCUUCUGAAGGGCCUGGCGUGAGGAACUGCUCCGGCUUUCCUUGGAUGUGUAUGGUCUAUGUUUUUAUCAACACUGUAUGUAACCGAAUGUCUGUCUUGGGCUCUAUUAUGACCCAUAAAACCUUAUGCAACUUUCAACAACGGAUCUCUUGGCUCUC
rnacentral:misc_RNA from 1 species